rnacentral:rRNA from 1 species
AGCUAAUAGAUACCCAGGUAGUCCUGGCAGUAAACGGUGCGCGUUUGGUGUAGGAGGAAUCGACCCCUUCUGUGCCGGAGCUAAACGCGUUAAACGCGCCGCCUGGGGAGUACGGUCGCAAGAUUAAAACUCAAAGAAAUUGACGGGGGCCCGGCACAAGCGGUGGAGUAUGUGGCUUAAUUCGAUGCAACGCGAAGAACCUUACCUGGGCUUGACAUGCAUCUCUAAGUCGGUGAAAGCCGGCGACUCCCGCAAGGGAGAAUUUGCACAGGUGCUGCAUGGCUGUCGUCAGCUCGUGUCGUGAGAUGUUGGGUUAAAGUCCCGCAACGAGCGCAACCCCUGUGGCCUGUUGCCCCCCGACCGCGACGGGUGGAGCACUCUGGCCAGACUGCCCUGUNAAACGGGGAGAAGGUGGGAUGACGUCAAGUCAGCAUGG